GCGAAGGUAGCGCAAUCACUUGUCUUUUAAAUGAAGACCUGUAUGAAUGGCAUGACGAGGGCUUAACUGUCUCCUUUUUCCAGUCAAUGAAAUUGAUCUUCCCGUGCAGAAGCGGGAAUAAUAUCAUAAGACGAGAAGACCCUGUGGAGCUUCAGACACUAAAUCAGCCCUUGUCCAAAAUCCCAAUUAAGGGGCCGAACACUAGAGUAAAGCCUGGUUUAACGUCUUCGGUUGGGGCGACCUUGGGGAAAGAAAAACCCCCACGCGGAACAGAAGUAUUAUACUUCCAAAACUAAGAGCCGCCACUCAAAGUAUCAGAAAUUCUGACCAACUAUAUGAUCCGGCCUAACGCCGAUCAACGGACCGAGUUACCCCA
rnacentral:rRNA from 1 species